GGCGGAGUAGUUCAGCUGGUUAGAGCAUCGGAAUCAUAAUCCGCGUGUCGGGGGUUCGAGUCCCUCCUCCGCUACCA
rnacentral:tRNA from 1 species